GUUUGAGGUCUUGUAAGGGAAACUGAAGGGAAUUGUGUAUUGAACAGGAUGGCUUAGACCUGCUCAACUUCUGAGAAUUGAGGUCUAUUUUUUAUUAAAAUUCAAAUAUUCCCAGCCAGGCGCAGUGGUUCACGCCUGUAAUCCUAGCACUUUGGGAAGCCAAGGCAGGCGGAUCACCUGAGAUGAGGAGUUCGAGACCAGCCUGGCCAACACGGAGAAACUCUGUCUCUACUAAAAAUACAAAAAUUAGCUGGUUGUGGUGGUGCACACCUGUACUCCCAGCUACUCAGGAGGCUGAGGCAGGAGAAUCACUUGAACCUGGGAGGCAGAGGUUGCAGUGAGCCGAGAUAGUGCCACUGCACUCCAGCCUGGGUGACAGAGCAGGACUCCAUCUCAAAAAAUAAUAAUAAUAAAAAAAUUCGUAUGUUCCUUGUGAGGGAGAACAUAUGGGAUCCCUCAGUAACAAGGUUAAAAAAUUUUUUUAUUGAGCUCAUAUUAGUUGCCACAUAUCCGAGAUACUUGGGGUAAAUGUAUUUGGUGUAAACGAAUUACUUUUCCCUGGAGACAAGAAAGCCAAGUGUUAAGAGAACAGCAGCCUUCUUUUUGGGGGAAAGGA
rnacentral:lncRNA from 10 species